CCCUCACGUCCCUCUGCCUGUGUCAUCCCUCAGGCCCCCUCCCUAGUUCUCUCAGGUCCCCCCACCUUUUCCCCCCUCUGUUCCUCCUCUCAGGUCCCCUCCUCAGGUCCCUCUGCCUGUGUCAUCCCUCAGCACCCCCCCAUUCUCUCAGGUCCCCCCACCUUGUCCCCCCUCCGUUCCCUCCUCUCAGGUCCCCUCCUCAGGUCCCUCUGCCUGUGUUAUCCCUCGGUCCCCCCCAGUUUCAGGUCCCUCCCCUCCGGUCCCCCCACCAUGUCCUCUCUCAGGUCUUCUUCAGGUCCUCCCUCCGUUCCCUCCUCUCAGGUCCCCCCCCCCAGGUUCCUCUACCUGUGUCAUCCCUCAGGUCCCUCCACCCAUGUAUCCCUUCAAGUCCUCUCUCAGGCCCCCCACCCAUCUCGCCCCUCUGACUUCCCUUGAUCCCAGAUCUCCCCACCCACUCUGUCCCCUUCAGGGACCCCCUUUCCCCCCAAAGGGUUCUAGAGACCUGAGCGAGCCGUGUAGUGACUGUUCCGGCUGCAUCUUGAGGUCUGUCGGGGAGCUGGACACGAGGCAGAUUUGUGUUCGAUUUGCAAGCUGGGUGCAGAGGACAAAGCGUGUCUUGUGAUGUGAGUCAGUGAUGGACUCCGGGUGCCGCUGUUGCGCGGCCUGUGGCUUGGACGGCAAGUGGGCGAGGCUCGCAGGGAGUGGAAGGGGCCUGUUGGAGACAGAGUCCAGGAGAUGAGGGCCCAGGAAAGGAGUCGUGAGCUUGCUCUCCUGGGACCCGUGUCGGGUCUUGCCCUGCCACCGUCUGCCAGGGUGUAGACGGCGGCUCGCACGGGGAGUGGUUCUGGUGCUGAGUGGGUGGAGGCCAGGGGUGCUGCUCGGCACCCACGCGCCCCUGCCACCCUGGCUUGGUGAGUCCAGAGUUCUGGCUUUGAGGCCGCUUCUUGCUCCUCCACAGCUGCUGUGUGCUGGGCAGCGCCUGGGUCGACGUCUCCCUCCCGGGUCGGUCUCUGAUGGGCAGAUGUGCCAGUGGCAGCGCGGGGGUGAGCUGCUUCCCCGGUGUCUGGAGGCCCUGAGCGGGUCUGGGCUGAGGUCUGUGGAGCUUGGUCUCCCGCCAGUGUCCCAGCAGCCCUGUCAGGACAGUUUCACGCUUCCGUCACCUGAAUCAUCCAAAAUGACAUCUGAGGCCCCGGGAUUUUGCGCGGCUCCGAGCUGGGUCAGCUGGUGCACCUACCUGCCUGCCUGGCCCUGCCACUAGGUGGGGACACAGGCCCAUGCAGCCGCUGUCGCUGUCCCAUAUCCACAGGCCAGGCCCACCUUUCCCGUUCUGUCUCGGGACCCUUUGGUUCUGAACCUUUUCAAGCUCCUGUUAUGAGAUGACAGCAGGGUAUUUACUGUGUUAGGAACAAAAAUGGAGACGCUGUUACGCUUAAUACUUUUUACGGAAAACCGGCGAUAAUAAAUCCGCUGCAGGUAGACGUGGCA
rnacentral:lncRNA from 1 species